CAUUGAGAGAGGAAAAGAUGAUUCCACUUGAGGAGCCAACAUGGCAGAACAGAAUCAGCAUUGAACUAGGAAUCAAGAUUCUUGGAAAGGUUGACCAGGCCCUGCUGACUUUUUAGAUUUCUCAGGAGACUCUGGCUUGGAAGUCAGUCUUAAAAUGCAGCUUGAAAAGAUCGAUCAAAUCCUUGAAAAUGCUCUCACAAUCACUACACUCCUGUAUAUGCCUAAAGACAUCAAGGAAGCCCUACUACAAGCCCUACAUUGUGACUCUCACAUUGAAAGGGAAUCCCAAAGUGCACCCCGAAUCAGAAAAAAAAAACACAACUUUUUUUAGAAUCAGGAAGCAACUGAAAAGAAUACUAUCCUCAAAUUCCAGAGCUCCCAGAUCAAAGAG